GGGUUCGCACGAUCCGGCCUGUGUUCGCCCCGCCGAAGUCCAAAUGUUAUUUUGGCGGUAGCCCAGAAGGGAAGAGCUCGUCUUUUUUAACAGCUUUUCCAGUUCACGUCCAAUCAAACGUUCCUUGUGUUGACUGUUGAGGCCGGACGCAAUAUCGAUCACCCGUGUAGGUUCCAGCUUCUCGCUCUCUCUGUCGAAGCUUCCACCAUUCCUGCCAUUCAAGUUUCGAUCACGCACAGUUCUUUAACUUUCCAAUGGAUCUCUCUCUCUCCAAAAUUCCUCCACCGCUUUCUCUCUCCGAAAAUACAUCCGUUCUUUGUUCUCGGUACUCAAUAAAGCCGCUUUCCACUUUCCCCUAUCUGAAUUUCAAACCCAAGGCCUCCAUCAGAAGGCCAUUGCUUUGGCGCCAUGUUCAACCAAUAAGAGCUCAAAAUCAGGAUCAGAUAAUCAAUGACGGAUUUGUCCUCGAGGACGUUCCUCACUUGACGACCUUUCUCCCCAAUUUACCGUCCUACCCGAAUCCUUUACAGAGGAGCCAAGCUUAUGCCAUAGUCAAGCAAACUUUUGUCAGCCCAGAAGAUGUGGUCGCAGAAGAAAUUGUCGUUCAAAAGAACAGUCCUAGAGGAGUACACUUUCGGCGUGCAGGGCCUCGGGAAAGGGUUUAUUUCGAGUCUGAGGAGGUGCGUGCUUGUAUUGUCACUUGCGGGGGUUUGUGCCCAGGGAUCAAUACAGUGAUUAGGGAGAUAGUUUGUGGCUUGAAUUAUAUGUAUGGCGUUGAUAACAUACUUGGAAUAGAGGGGGGAUACAGGGGCUUUUACUCUAAAAAUACGAUGCAGUUGACGCCUAAAGUUGUCAAUGAUAUCCAUAAACGUGGUGGCACCUUUCUUCAAACUUCAAGAGGCGGUCAUGAUACAAACAAGAUUGUUGAUAACAUCCAUGACCGGGGGAUAAACCAGGUUUAUAUAAUUGGAGGUGAUGGGACUCAAAAAGGGGCAGCUGCUAUUUACAAGGAAGUUGUGAAACGUGGUCUUCAAGUGGCAGUGGCAGGAAUUCCCAAGACAAUCGAUAAUGAUAUUGCAGUGAUAGACAAAUCUUUCGGUUUUGACACAGCUGUUGAAGAAGCUCAGAGAGCCAUUAAUGCUGCACAUGUGGAGGUUGAGAGUGUGGAAAAUGGAGUUGGAAUAGUGAAGCUUAUGGGUCGAUACAGCGGCUUCAUUGCUAUGUUCGCAACUCUGGCUAGCCGAGAUGUGGAUUGUUGCUUGAUUCCAGAGUCUCAUUUCUAUCUAGAAGGCCAAGGUGGGCUUUUUGAAUUUAUUGAACAGCGGGUGAAAGAAAAUGGGCAUAUGGUUAUUGUGUUGGCAGAAGGAGCAGGACAGGAAUAUCUUUCUCAGAGCAUGCAUCCAGUUGAUGAGAAAGAUGCAUCCGGAAAUAGGCUACUUCUAGAUGUUGGUCUAUGGCUAACUCAAAAGAUUAAGGAUCAUUUUACAAAUGUCCGGAAGAUGGCAAUAAACCUGAAAUAUAUAGAUCCUACAUACAUGAUCCGAGCUAUUCCAAGUAAUGCAUCCGAUAAUAUUUACUGCACACUGCUUGCUCAGAGUGCCGUGCAUGGAGCAAUGGCAGGGUACACAGGCUUCACAGUUGGUCCUGUGAACAGCAGACAUGCAUAUAUCCCAAUUUCUCGUGUAACGGAAACCCAUAACAUUGUCAAGGUAACAGACAGGAUGUGGGCUAGACUUCUCGCGUCGACAAAUCAACCCAGUUUCUUACAGAAUGAAGAAGGGACGGAAAGCUUUGACAAAAAGACUCUAGAUGUGAUCAACUAAAUGUAGAUUACUUCUAUUUAAUACUCAAGGAUUGCAGCUGGAGAAACUGAAAAUGAGGACUUUUUAAGAGCCACCCUCUUUUUUUAGCAUUAUACACUGAAAGGCCUAUCAAGCAGCUCUUAAAGACUCGGCAUGUCAAAACAUAAUCCGGUGAGGUACUAGUAAGCAUUUUCCGGUAAAAAUACCUUCGCAAGGAUGCCAGUCCAAGUGACGCGCGCCAGAGGGCAGAGGUAAAUAAGAUCUGAGACCAUCCCUAUAGCAACAAAUUAGUCCCAGAAUAGCCCUGGAUAUGAUGAAUAGAGCGACCUUACAUAUUUUGUGGAGGAAAAAGCUUGGGUUAUGAAGACAAAAAUAGGCUUCCUAGGAUAAAUAUCUUACCCUUGGAAUUCAGAGUUAUCACUUGCAGCUGUUGGGUCCGAUGGGAACGUUUGUACAGAGACAUGAAAGGGGAUUUCGGAGACAACUUAUGCCAAAUGGAGGGUCCUGAAUGCAAGUAGAAGAAACAAGCCUUUUGUCGCUUUCUCUGUUAAUUGUGAAUUAUUAAUUUAUUGCAGAAUGGCGUUAUAGGACUGAUGUCGAGAUGACUGAGCUGCCAUUUGGGCCCCCAUUAUUUAAACCCUAUCCUCAACUUGGGGGCUACGGCCGACUUGCCCAUGGAUGAUGUACCUGCAUGAAUGUAGUGGGGUAGAGGUUUUGACACCUGGAAGGGUAUAAAAUUUGGUGUAUAUGUUAGUUGUUAGGUGCUAUCAACAGUUUUGCUCCGAUUUUAAUUGGGCUCCUCUCAGGUAGACGGUGAGAUUGGACUCCCAAUUGACCUGAGUGUAAUAAGUUGGUUCGGACGCCUGAGUUGUCAAAAGAUUUGGUGU